CGACCCCAGGUCAGGCGGGACUCACCCG
rnacentral:rRNA from 1 species